rnacentral:rRNA from 1 species
AAUCAACGCUGGCGGCGUGCCUCAGACAUGCAAGUCGAACGAUUAAGACUCUCUUCGGAGAGUGUAUAAAGUGGCGCACGGGUGAGUAACACGUAGGUAAUGUACCGAAGGGUGGGGAAUAACUUAGGGAAACUUAAGCUAAUACCGCAUAAUGCAGCGGCUCGACAUCGAGACAGUUGUUAAAGGAGCAAUCCGCCUUUUGAGCAGCCUGCGGCAGAUUAGCUAGUUGGUAAGGUAAUGGCUUACCAAGGCUACGAUCUGUAACCGACCUGAGAGGGUGGUCGGUCACACUGACACUGAAUAACGGGUCAGACUCCUACGGGAGGCAGCAGUCGGGAAUUUUGGGCAAUGGGCGAAAAGCCUGGCCCAGCAACGCCGCGUGAAGGAUGAAGUAUUUCGGUAUGUAAACUUCGUAAGAAUAGGAAGAAUAAAUGACGGUACUAUUUGUAAGGUCCGGCUAACUACGUGCCAGCAGCCGCGGUAAU